GACGAACGCUGGCGGCGUGCCUAAUACAUGCAAGUAGAACGCAGUUGCGAACGGGUGAGUAACGCGUAGGUAACUGCCUCAUAGCGGGGGAUAACUAUUGGAAACGAUAGCUAAUACCGCAUACUGUGAGAUGGACCUGCGUUGUAUUAGGUAGUUGGUGAGGUAAAGGCUCACCAAGGCGACGAUACAUAGCCGACCUGAGAGGGUGAACGGCCACAAUGGGACUGGGACACGGCCCAGAAUCCUACGGGAGGCAGCAGUAGGGAAUCUUCGGCAAUGGACGGAAGUCUGACCGAGCAACGCCGCGUGAGUGAAGAAGGUUUUCGGGUCGUAAAGCUCUGUUGGUAGGGAAGCGGUAACUAAACAGAAAGGGGCGGCUAACUAAGUGCCAGCAGCCGCGGUAAUUC
rnacentral:rRNA from 1 species